GAAAGCUAAUUGUAGAAUAUGUAUUCUACAAUAUUGAUUUAAUCGAAUAAAAUUCUGGGUAUGUUAUGAUCAUGACAUUUCAUACCCAUAUUUCUUGACCAAAUUACGUGCCAGCAGUCGCGGUAAUACGUAGAAGAUUAGUGUUAUUCAUCUUUAAUGGGUUUAAAGGGUACCUAGACAGUAAAUAAAGCUUAUAAAUAAAUUAAUAGUACUAAUUUACUAGAGUUACUUGUGAGGGGGCAUAAAGGUACUGUCGGUGUAGAGAUAAAAUUCUGUGAUACCCUUUUUUUUACAAAAACUAAUGGCACGAAUUUAGGCGAAAGCAUCCCCUUAUGUGAUAACUGACGUUGAGGGACGAAGGCUUGGUGUAGCGAACAGGAUUAGAUACCCCAAUAGUCCAAGCAGAAAAUGAUGAGUGUCAUAGAUUAGAUUUUUUUUUUAUUCUAUAAAUGAAAAUGUAAGCACUCCACCUUAANAGUAAUUUGGCAACAUUGGAACUGAAAUCAUUAGACCGUUUCUGAAACCAGUAGUGAAGUAUGUUGUUCAAUUAGACAGCACGCAAAAAACCUUACCACAAUUUGAAUAUUUACAUUUAAUUAUUACUUUUACGAUUGCUUACCAUUGCAGUGCAAUCGUACGUAAUCAGAAGCAAGCAAUCGUAAGUAGCAAGAAAUAAAUGUAUUUACAAGCGUUGCACGGUUGUCUUCAGUUAAUGUCGUGAGAUUUUGGUUAGUUCCAUUUAAUUAACGUAAACCCAUACUUNAUUUUUACAUAAAGUAGUUCCCCGCUAUAUANANUAUGAUAAUAGGGAUCAAGACAAAUCAUCAUGACCUGAAUAUUGUGGGCUACAGACNUGCCNC
rnacentral:rRNA from 1 species